AAUAACUAAGCGGAGGAAAAGAAACUAACCAGGAUUCCCCCAGUAACGGCGAGUGAAGCGGGAAGAGCUCACGUUGUAAAUCUGCCCCAGUGGUCGAAUUGUAGUCUGGAGAGGCGAGGCCAGCCGUUGUCGGGGGCGAAGUCUCUUGGAAAAGAGCAUCAAGGAGGGUGACAAUCCCGUUCCUGCCCCCGCGCGACGCGCGUCCGGCCCGUUUUCGAAGAGUCGAGUUGCUUGGGAUUGCAGCUCAAAGCGGGUGGUAAAUUCCAUCUAAAGCUAAAUACGAGUGGGAGACCGAUAGCGAACAAGUACCGUGAGGGAAAGAUGCAAAGAACUUUGAAAAGAGAGUUAAAGAGUGCCUGAAAUUGCUGAAAGGGAAGCGAAGGAAAUCAGUGUCUGGCGGUGUACUGGUUCUCCGGCGCCCUCCGGGACGUCGGACUGAACAGAUUCCGCCGUGGCCAGGGCCGGGUGACGUUGCGGGAGACUGCGCAAGGCGGGAGGUACGUCUCCGUAUCUUUCGGAGAGGGAUUACAACGUGGCGUGUCGUCGCGACGCCGGCCGGUUCUGACGAAAUGGUUUUCUUCAC
rnacentral:rRNA from 1 species